rnacentral:rRNA from 1 species
GACGGAGGAUGCAAGUGUUAUCCGGAAUCACUGGGCGUAAAGCGUCUGUAGGUGGUUCAAUAAGUCAACUGUUAAAUCUUGAGGCUCAACUUCAAAAUCGCAGUCGAAACUAUUGGACUCGAGUAUAGUAGGGGUAAAGGGAAUUUCCAGUGGAGCGGUGAAAUGCGUAGAGAUUGGAAAGAACACCAACGGCGAAAGCACUCUGCGUGGCCGACACUGACACUGAGAGACGAAAGCUAGGGGAGCGAAUGGG